rnacentral:rRNA from 1 species
CCCUUAGAUGUUCUGGGCCGCACGCGUGCUACACCGAGUGGAUCAGCGGGUCAGGUUGCGCGAAAGUGUUUCCUAAUCUUUAAAUCCGCUCGUGAUGGGGAUUGACGGUUGCAAUUUUCCGUCAUGAACGAGGAAUACCUUGUAAGCGCGGGUCAUCAUCCCGCGCUGAAUACGUCCCUGCCCUUUGUACACACCGCCCGUCGCUCCUACCGAUUGAGUGGUCCGGUGAGGCUUUGGGAUCUGGGCGGAAAGAGCGUUUCGCUGUUUCUGCCCGGAAAACUCAGUCGAACCUUAUCAUUUAGAGGAAGGAGAAGUCGUAACA